GGGGUUGUGGCUCAAGUGGUAAAGCGCUCACCUAGCAUGGGUGAGGUACUGGGUUCGAUCCUCAGCACCACA
rnacentral:tRNA from 1 species